AGGAGGGGUCCCGCACUGGGAG
rnacentral:miRNA from 1 species